GGUGAAAUGUUAGUACCAGCUUUGGAUCCCUGCCAUGAUAUUUUUCCACUACGCUGCGAAGACUCCAGCUUGCCCAAGGAAUGCCUUUGCCGUCCUCUGCCAGGGUCCUUACAUCGGUAUGCAGACUGAUGCACAGACAAGCAAAGCAUGAAGGUCUCCUCUGGUCAAGGCUGAGAAGGUGUUUAUUAGCCCCAGAUGAUCAUGAAAGCGGAAGAGACUUACGAAACCAUUCACUCUAUCCUCCUCCCAAAGGAAGAACACUCCUUAUAAGUCAUCACACUUCCCAGGACUUCGCCCAACUUAGACUCAAAAGGCACAAGUAACAGGGGAUCCAGUAAUUCCCAUGGGAAAAUAUGCAGCUUUACGCCGCCUCCCAUCUCCCACAUGGGUGGGGUGGGGUUCUGCUUAUCUCUCCAGCUCAGAACCAACAUCAGGCCAUUUUCCUCCGGGCAUCAUUUACUAUUCAAACAUUCACAAAACAAAGGUAAUCCUCAUCCUCCUCCAGGGCCUGCCACAAAAUCUGCCUUCCUUUCUAACUGAAUUAUUAAACUGUAUAUUUUAGGAAUCACUGUGGUUAGUGGGCUGACCUCCUUUAUCAAAUACUUGUUCUGAAAGGAUCUGUUCUUCUGAACAGGGUUAGCUGUCCAGUCAGCUGUCUCCGCACCUCUCUAGCUUUUACUAGUCACACUGGAAAACACAUAUUACUAGCUAUUUGCAUUCAAUUGUUUUGUUUCUUUUUUUUAUUCAAUGUGUUGUACUUGUGAUAUUCCAAACCAAAACACAUCACAUGCUGUUUCCCAUUCCUUCCUAAUCAUAUGCUAUAUAUUUAUCAUAUCCUUGUUUAGGGCCUCAUCACAUUAAUAAAAUGGCUCAAACUCCUUAAUGGGGGCAGAGAAGAAUGUAUUCCUAUCAUUACCGAGUGUCAACACACCCCCAAACUGUUCUUGUACUGGACACACGAGGAUAUGCUUGUAUAAAUAAAUCAAUCACACCCUGACAUGCCAUCAAAUUAACCUGCUGAUACAAAAUAAA